rnacentral:rRNA from 1 species
GACGAACGCUGGCUGCGUGCUUAACACAUGCAAGUCGAACGAAGUGGCGAACGGGUGAGUAACGCAUAAUCAACCUGCCCUUCAUAGGGGUACAACAGUUGGAACCGACUGCUAAUACCGCAUACUGAAGGAGGGGAUUGCGUCUGAUUAGCUAGUUGGCGGGGUAACGGCCCCACAAGGCGAUGACCAGUAGCCGGUCUGGGAGGAUGAACGGCCACAUUGGGAAUGGGACAAGGCCCAGGCUCCUACGGGAGGCAGGAGGGGGGAAUCUGUCGAAAUGGAGGGAAGGCUUACGGAGCAAAGGCGCGUGAGGUAUGACGGGCUUCGGGUUGUAAAGCUCUUUUAAUCGGGACGCGGUACCGGAAUAGAAAGCCACGGCUAACUACGUGCCAGCAGCCGCGGUAAUAC